GAAAAGAAACCAACAGGGAUUGCCUUAGUAGCGGCGAGUGAAGCGGCAAGAGCUCAGAUUUGAAAUCUCACCUAGUGUGCGAGUUGUAAAUUGCAGGUUGGAGUCUCGGGUUAGACGUGUGUGCAAGUCCCUUGGAACAGGGUGCCACUGAGGGUGAGAGCCCCGUAUCGUGCAUGUCGACACCUGUGAGGCCCUUGUGACGAGUCGAGUUGUUUGGGAAUGCAGCUCUAAGUGGGUGGUAAAUUCCAUCUAAGGCUAAAUAUUGGCGAGAGACCGAUAGCGAACAAGUACUGUGAAGGAAAGAUGAAAAGCACUUUGAAAAGAGAGUGAAACAGCACGUGAAAUUGUUGAAAGGGAAGGGUAUUGGGCUCGACAUGGGAUUUACGCAUCGUUGCCUCUCGUGGGCGGCGCUCUGGGUUUUUCCUGGGCCAGCAUCGGUUUUCGUUGCAGGAUAAGGACAAUUGGAAUGUGGCUCCUCGGAGUGUUAUAGCCAUUUGUAGAUGCUGCGUAUGGGGACCGAGGGCUGCGGCGGACUCGUUUCGUCUCGGAUGCUGGCACAACGGCGC
rnacentral:rRNA from 1 species